rnacentral:rRNA from 1 species
AGGAUGAACGCUAGCUACAGGCUUAACACAUGCAAGUCGAUGGGCAUCAGGAAGAAAGCUUGCUUUCUUUGCUGGCGACCGGCGCACGGGUGAGUAACACGUAUCCAACCUGCCCUUUACUCGGGGAUAGCCUUUCGAAAGAAAGAUUAAUACCCGAUAGUAUAAUGAUUCCGCAUGGUUUCAUUAUUAAAGGAUUCCGGUAAAGGAUGGGGAUGCGUUCCAUUAGGUUGUUGGUGAGGUAACGGCUCACCAAGCCUUCGAUGGAUAGGGGUUCUGAGAGGAAGGUCCCCCACAUUGGAACUGAGACACGGUCCAAACUCCUACGGGAGGCAGCAGUGAGGAAUAUUGGUCAAUGGGCGCUAGCCUGAACCAGCCAAGUAGCGUGAAGGAUGAAGGCUCUAUGGGUCGUAAACUUCUUUUAUAUAAGAAUAAAGCGCAGUAUGUAUACUGUUUUGUAUGUAUUAUAUGAAUAAGGAUCGGCUAACUCCGUGCCAGCAGCCGCGGUAAUACGGAGGAUCCGAGCGUUAUCCGGAUUUAUUGGGUUUAAAGGGAGCGUAGGUGGACUGGUAAGUCAGUUGUGAAAGUUUGCGGCUCAACCGUAAAAUUGCAGUUGAUACUGUCAGUCUUGAGUACAGUAGAGGUGGGCGGAAUUCGUGGUGUAGCGGUGAAAUGCUUAGAUAUCACGAAGAACUCCGAUUGCGAAGGCAGCUCACUGGACUGCAACUGACACUGAUGCUCGAAAGUGUGGGUAUCAAACAGGAUUAGAUACCCUGGUAGUCCACACAGUAAACGAUGAAUACUCGCUGUUUGCGAUAUACAGUAAGCGGCCAAGCGAAAGCAUUAAGUAUUCCACCUGGGGAGUACGCCGGCAACGGUGAAACUCAAAGGAAUUGACGGGGGCCCGCACAAGCGGAGGAACAUGUGGUUUAAUUCGAUGAUACGCGAGGAACCUUACCCGGGCUUAAAUUGCAGUGGAAUGAUGUGGAAACAUGUCAGUGAGCAAUCACCGCUGUGAAGGUGCUGCAUGGUUGUCGUCAGCUCGUGCCGUGAGGUGUCGGCUUAAGUGCCAUAACGAGCGCAACCCUUAUCUUCAGUUACUAACAGGUCAUGCUGAGGACUCUGGAGAGACUGCCGUCGUAAGAUGUGAGGAAGGUGGGGAUGACGUCAAAUCAGCACGGCCCUUACGUCCGGGGCUACACACGUGUUACAAUGGGGGGGUACAGAAGGCAGCUAGCGGGUGACCGUAUGCUAAUCCCAAAAGCCUCUCUCAGUUCGGAUCGAAGUCUGCAACCCGACUUCGUGAAGCUGGAUUCGCUAGUAAUCGCGCAUCAGCCACGGCGCGGUGAAUACGUUCCCGGGCCUUGUACACACCGCCCGUCAAGCCAUGGGAGCCGGGGGUACCUGAAGUACGUAACCGCAAGGAUCGUCCUAGGGUAAAACUG